rnacentral:rRNA from 1 species
GACGAACGCUGGCGGCGUGCUUAACACAUGCAAGUCGAACGGAAAGGCCCUGCUUUUGUGGGGUGCUCGAGUGGCGAGCGGGUGAGUAACACGUGAGUAACCUGCCCUUGACUUUGGGAUAACUUCAGGAAACUGGGGCUAAUACCGGAUAGGAGCUCCUGCUGCAUGGUGGGGGUUGGAAAGUUUCGGCGGUUGGGGAUGGACUCGCGGCUUAUCAGCUUGUUGGUGGGGUAGUGGCUUACCAAGGCUUUGACGGGUAGCCGGCCUGAGAGGGUGACCGGCCACAUUGGGACUGAGGUACGGCCCAGACUCCUACGGGAGGCAGCAGUGGGGAAUAGUGCACAAUGGGCGGAAGCCUGAUGCAGCAACGCCGCGUGCGGGAUGACGGCCUUCGGGUUGUAAACCGCUUUCGCCUGUGACGAAGCGUGAGUGACGGUAAUGGGUAAAGAAGCACCAGCUAACUACGUG